GUGAGGCCACGUGUGGAGUAGAAGAGUUCUAGCAGACGCUGCACUUUAAAAAAGACACUGAUAAGCCAGUGAAGGCUACCAGGCUGCUGGGGGUCAGCAAAAUUAAUCCUUGAAUGAGUGAAUGAAUAAUCCUUGAGGACACUGGGAAUGUUAGAAGAAAAUGUUCAAUCCACUUGGCUGUUAAAGCCAAAAUGACUUGUGAAAUGCUCACUGUUAUAAGAAGACUAGAAAUAAAGUAAAAAAAAAUCUAUAGGUGUGUGAUCCUCACAAAUGUAUUUCAGGAAACAAUCAUAGAUGUGUAUCAGAUCUUAUAGUUCAUCACUUGAAAAAAAUGGGUAGAUACAUUCUCUGUUGCCCUGGAGGCAGAGUUAUUGGAAGGCGCAGGGAAGCAGAUUUCAGUUUAAGAUGGGAAAGAACUUUCCUAUUAGUUCACUGCUAAAAUUGCUGCCUUGCGAAGAAAUGAACUUCUGAUCCCUGGAAUUGUUCUAACAGCUGUUUUAAAAUGUAGGUUUUAUUAUUAUUCAGGUAUGGUGAGCCGACAGAUCAAGAGAUGAUUGCCGUUGAAAAAGAUAAUUUCUUACAGUUCCCAAGAGAAGAGGGUACACCGCACCACACAGGGACACACAGGUGAAAAGGUGAAUUGAAAAAAGCACAAGGAAGAGCAGUAGAGUGACCCAGAGACAGUGGGCCAUUGGACACAUGGGCCUGUCAAUCUGAAAGUCAAGGCUGAGGAAGAAUAGUAUCCAAAUCUGUAAAAUCAUGGGAGACAUUCCAAGCAGAGGAGACGAUGUGCACAGGUGCUGGGCCUGGUCAGGGGACAGUGAGCCGUGAGAGAACAUUCUCAAUUAAUGAAGAGCUUUUAAAAAGGAAAAAGCUUGGAGACUCACGAUGAACUCCUGUCUUCCUCGUUUGUAGCGUGUCCUACCUUCUCUAACGACUGUCAGAGUGAAGGCUGGACUUUGAGCUCGCUCUUUUAGUGCUGAGGGUAUCGGGGAAGGGUAUCAUUAUUCUUAGAUGCAACGUCAGAGACUGCUGGUUGUCCCUCAAGAUCUGCUCUGUUUUACUCUUAUUUAGUAACAGAAUCUUCCAUUUUUAGCCAACCACAUGGCUAUAGGGAAGAAUGACAGUAUUUCCCAGCCUCAUUUGCAGCUAGGUACGACUGUGUUCCUAAGUUCU